rnacentral:rRNA from 1 species
AGGGUUUGAUUCUGGCUCAGAUUGAACGCUGGCGGCAGGCUUAACACAUGCAAGUCGAACGAUGAUUAUCUAGCUUGCUAGAUAUGAUUAGUGGCGGACGGGUGAGUAACAUUUAGGAAUCUGCCUAGUAGUGGGGGAUAGCUCGGGGAAACUCGAAUUAAUACCGCAUACGACCUACGGGUGAAAGGGGGCGCAAGCUCUUGCUAUUAGAUGAGCCUAAAUCAGAUUAGCUAGUUGGUGGGGUAAAGGCCCACCAAGGCGACGAUCUGUAACUGGUCUGAGAGGAUGAUCAGUCACACCGGAACUGAGACACGGUCCGGACUCCUACGGGAGGCAGCAGUGGGGAAUAUUGGACAAUGGGGGCAACCCUGAUCCAGCCAUGCCGCGUGUGUGAAGAAGGCCUUUUGGUUGUAAAGCACUUUAAGCAGGGAGGAGAGGCUAAUGGUUAAUACCCAUUAGAUUAGACGUUACCUGCAGAAUAAGCACCGGCUAACUCUGUGCCAGCAGCCGCGGUAAUACAGAGGGUGCGAGCGUUAAUCGGAAUUACUGGGCGUAAAGCGAGUGUAGGUGGCUCAUUAAGUCACAUGUGAAAUCCCCGGGCUUAACCUGGGAACUGCAUGUGAUACUGGUGGUGCUAGAAUAUGUGAGAGGGAAGUAGAAUUCCAGGUGUAGCGGUGAAAUGCGUAGAGAUCUGGAGGAAUACCGAUGGCGAAGGCAGCUUCCUGGCACAAUAUUGACACUGAGAUUCGAAAGCGUGGGUAGCAAACAGGAUUAGAUACCCUGGUAGUCCACGCCGUAAACGAUGUCUACUAGCCGUUGGGGUCCUUGAGACUUUAGUGGCGCAGUUAACGCGAUAAGUAGACCGCCUGGGGAGUACGGCGCCAAGGUUAAAACUCAAAUGAAUUGACGGGGGCCCGCACAAGCGGUGGAGCAUGUGGUUUAAUUCGAUGCAACGCGAAGAACCUUACCUGGUCUUGACAUAGUGAGAAUCCUGCAGAGAUGCGGGAGUGCCUUCGGGAAUUCACAUACAGGUGCUGCAUGGCUGUCGUCAGCUCGUGUCGUGAGAUGUUGGGUUAAGUCCCGCAACGAGCGCAACCCUUUUCCUUAUUUGCCAGCGGGUUAAGCCGGGAACUUUAAGGAUACUGCCAGUGACAAACUGGAGGAAGGCGGGGACGACGUCAAGUCAUCAUGGCCCUUACGACCAGGGCUACACACGUGCUACAAUGGUAGGUACAGAGGGUUGCUACACAGCGAUGUGAUGCUAAUCUCAAAAAGCCUAUCGUAGUCCGGAUUGGAGUCUGCAACUCGACUCCAUGAAGUCGGAAUCGCUAGUAAUCGCGGAUCAGAAUGCCGCGGUGAAU